UACGUAGGUGGCAAGCGUUGUCCGGAUUUACUGGGCGUAAAGAGCGCGCAGGCGGUCGUUCAAGUCGAGUGUGAAAGCCCCCGGCUCAACUGGGGAGGGUCACUCGAUACUGAUCGACUCGAAGGCAGGAGAGGGUAGUGGAAUUCCCGGUGUAGCGGUGAAAUGCGUUGAUAUCGUGAGGAACACCGGAGGCGAAAGCGGCUCACUGGGGCUUAUCUGACGCUGAGGCACGAAAGCUAGGGGAGCAAACGGG
rnacentral:rRNA from 1 species